GAUGAACGCUGGCGGCGUGCCUAAUACAUGCAAGUCGAGCGAACGGACGAGAAGCUUGCUUCUCUGAUGUUAGCGGCGGACGGGUGAGUAACACGUGGAUAACCUACCUAUAAGACUGGGAUAACUUCGGGAAACCGGAGCUAAUACCGGAUAAUAUUUUGAACCGCAUGGUUCAAAAGUGAAAGACGGUCUUGCUGUCACUUAUAGAUGGAUCCGCGCUGCAUUAGCUAGUUGGUAAGGUAACGGCUUACCAAGGCAACGAUGCAUAGCCGACCUGAGAGGGUGAUCGGCCACACUGGAACUGAGACACGGUCCAGUCUCCUACGGGAGGCAGCAGUAGGGAAUCUUCCGCAAUGGGCGAAAGCCUGACGGAGCAACGCCGCGUGAGUGAUGAAGGUCUUCGGAUCGUAAAACUCUGUUAUUAGGGUAGAACAUAUGUGUAAGUAACUGUGCACAUCUUGACGGUACCUAAUCAGAAAGCCACGGCUAACUACGUG
rnacentral:rRNA from 1 species